AAACACGUAAUCGACCUAAGAAGAAUCUGGAACUAAAACAGGUAAUCGACCUAAGAAGAAUUCGGGGCCAAAACAGACACCGAUCGAUGGUUAGAUAAACAUCAAUCAGAAAAGGUAAAAGUCAUUAAUGACCAAUUAAUAUGUUCAGUGGUCAUAUUAAAUGUGAAUAUAUGCUAUUUAUAAGUGAAGUGAUUGACCGGUCAUAUUACACAAGAAUAUGAUAUUAAUGAACCAUUAACACAAGCCUUAUAAGUAUACCAUUGACUGACGUUCAGCUAAAAGAACCUUGAGCUAUCCUAAAUAAAAUAUAUAGACAUCUUUAUACAACAUAUCUGACUUGAGCGUCGGAGUAUCUUUUGCAAGUCCACUACCCAUCGGAGAAUUGUGUUCUCAAAAGGGAACGAUCCAGAAAGAGCAGAGAAGAAAGAUCAACCGACCAUCGAACUAAAUCU
rnacentral:lncRNA from 1 species